rnacentral:lncRNA from 1 species
CUUACUCUGAUUUUAGAGAUUAUAACUUUUAGGCUGAUUGGGGUGGGAUGGGAGGCAAAAAAAAUUGCUCAGGCAGGAUUCCGAUGCUACUAAUUACUCACCAAAAUAUGGAUAAGACCAUUUUUGUAAGCAAUGAAUUGGCUCAUUUAAAAUUCCUUUGUUUUCAUUUUUAGAAGAAAGAAAGAGGAAGAAGGAAGAAAGUCAAAAGGAUGAAACAACAAAAGGAGCUCCCCACAGAAAGACAGACUCUUUCGCCAGCACAUUUAAGAAUCUAAAUGAGGCCAAGUGCCAAGCAGAUAAAGGGACUCUACUUGCUGCACAGUAAAUAAAACGGAGGCAGGAGGACACCUGCAUCAAACAAUACUUUCUGAGGGGAUGACAACAAGAUUUCAGAGAAUUCAGAUCCUGACUUUCCUGCCUCACCAGGUACAACCCAAGUCACCAGAGCUCAUAAAAGAUGUGUGUGCUGUCGCAUCUAUGUGAAGUAUUUCCAUGACCCGAGCAUUGACCACAGGACUGUGCUGGAGGAAACUGGAUCAAGGUACCAAGACAGAUACAGGAGGGUCUCCAGAAACCCUAGAGCUGAAUGGAACCCGUCUGGAAAACAUACACUGGAAACUAGGCCGAGGAUUAUCCAAAGGGUGGUUGAAAUCAAGGGUUAAAGUUUGGCUCAAGAUAAGGAAGAAUCUUCUAAUAAUUAAAACUGACCAUCCAAAAGAUGGGUGCCGUUGACAACACAGAGAGAAGAGAGAACCUAAACAAUGAAACAAGUCCCCUGCCCACGUGCUGUCAGACACUGGAGAAAAGAACAAAACCAAAGAAAAGCCACUGAGCAAACACAAUGGCCUUGUCUUCUACCUUUCUUGUGGCACAAUGCAGGACUGGACAGCACUGUCCUCCCCAUCCCAUCUCCUUCCCUCCCUCUACUCUCACCCCCCUCCACCAGCCUUCCUGCUCCCAAAGCACGUUACUGACUAGCAGCUUGCCAGUCCAGAUUGUAGUUUUAAUCCACCAACUAGUAUUGCAGCUCAUAGAAUGGCUUUGGAUUUAUGAAACAGGCUGAGGGGAAAUAAAGUACCCUAGUUUGUAGAUAAUAAAAGCUAAGAGUGGUGCAUCCAGGGAGAGAGGUGGGGUGCCAGGGGUUCUUAGGAAGGUAGUGGUACCACCUACUGCCAGAGUCUCUUUUGAAUUGGCUUUAUCCAGGAGUCCCAAAAGCCCUUUAAACUACUUCAUGGUAGCCUUUGACAGAGAACUCUUUGGCAGUGACUUGGAGAGGGUUUAUGAAGACAGUGCUCAGGCUUUGGUCAUGACACAGGCAGAUUGGGGAUGGAGUGGUACAUGUUUGAUUACAGUGUGUGUUGAGGGGCAAGGGGGCAGGUCUUGGUACAAUGACAACUAGCACGAGACCUUGAACUCAACAUGGAUUUUAAAAGUGUUUGUUUAAUGCAUGAAUAAAACAAUGCUCAUGAUAUUUUGUGGUCUUUAGUGACCAAUCAUAGUAGACGUCUUAGAAUUACCAAGCCCUAAGGAAUACUAAAACCCAGUCUAAUAAACUCAGUAAAACCAAGAGUGGACUCUAAUGUAAACUGUGGACUUUUGGAUGUACCUCUCUGGUGGGGAAUGUUGAUAAUGGAGGAGGCUAGGCUUGUGUGGGGGUGGCGAACACAUGGAAAAUCUCUGUAUCUUUUGCUUAUUUUUCUGUGAACCUAAAACUGAUCUAAAAAAAAGUAUAUAAAAAAUUCAUAGCCACAUAAAUUGGCAGUCAGAUCUGGUGAUUCAGCUGAACCUUUAUCUAAGCAUAUAGAAAAGAACACAUAUUUUCUGAUGUUUGAAAAAAUUGCUGUUUUACCUUGAAACUAAUAAAACAAAAUUGGCACAACUUAUUUUUUAAAUGCAGUAAAAAUACUUAGUCUGUCCUACAGCCUAUAUUCAUCUACUGUGGACAUCAUUUCCUCGCCAUGAAAUUUCCGUGGAAUCUAUAGGAGGCAAACCUGGGAUUAAAGCCUGAAUUUGCCAUUUAAUAAUGAGAAAACCUUGGAAAAGUCUGUCUAUCUGGAUGACUGUCAGUCCAGCAGAGACAUAGAAAUGUGCCAUAAAUAACCGAAUGCAUCACAAAAACAGAACAGGAGCUACGAGUGUUACUGAAGGCUUGAUUUGAGUUCUCACCUGAGAAACGGACACCCCCUAGCCCACUCCCACAGUUCACACUGGUUCUUCUACCUACAAGCCGAGUCUUCACUUUCUUAAAAGGGGACGUGGACAUGAAUUGACUAGGCCACACAUUUAUCAAUUUGAAGCCAUUACUUUGCUUCACAGAUGUAGAAGCCCCAUUUCUCGACAAAGAAGAGGAAAGAAAGAGGAAAAAUGAAGGAAUAAAUGAUAGAAGUAAAGAAAAAUGUAAAUAAACUUUCUCGUCUACACAGAAUAAAAGGAUCCAGUCUAGCCAACUAGACAAAAGUUAGUUUCUCAAUACUAACAUGCCUGGUGCCUCUCUUCUGUUUCCAGCCCUGGAAUAAUAAGUUUCACUUUUUCAUUUCUUCACCCAAAAUAAAACUUGAACUGCUCACUUCCUCAUCUUUUCAUUUGCAGAUCUCAAAAGCAGCCUCUUCCACAUCUACCCUUGGGGCAUGUCUGGCCCACUCCCCUACAG